rnacentral:rRNA from 1 species
AGCAGCCGCGGUAAUUCCAGCUCCAAUAGCGUAUAUUAAAGUUGUUGCAGUUAAAAAGCUCGUAGUUGAAUUUCGGGGUCAGUAGGCUGGUCGUGCCACAGGUACGCACUGGUCUCACUGAUUCCUCCUUCCUGAUGAACCGUAAUGCCAUUAAUUUGGUGUUGCGGGGAGACUGGACUGUUACUUUGAAAAAAUUAGAGUGUUUAAAGCAGGCUAACGCUUGAAUACAUUAGCAUGGAAUAAUGAAAUAGGACGUUCGGUCUUAUUUUGUUGGUUUU